AAUGAACGCUGGCGGCGUGCUUAACACAUGCAAGUCGAGCGAGAAAGCUCCCUUCGGGGGGUGAGUAAAGCGGCGGACGGGUGAGUAACACGUGGGCAACCUACCUCGGAGCGGGGGAUAACUUGGGGAAACUCGAGCUAAUACCGCGUACGUCUCGAGGGCUUCGGCCCGAGAGGGAAAGCUGGCCUCUACAUGUAAGCUGGCACUCCGAGAGGGGCCCGCGCCCGAUUAGCUUGAUGGUGGGGUAACGGCCCACCAUGGCGACGAUCGGUAGCCGGCCUGAGAGGGCGAUCGGCCACACUGGGACUGAGACACGGCCCAGACUCCUACGGGAGGCAGCAGUGGGGAAUAUUGGACAAUGGGGGCAACCCUGAUCCAGCAACGCCGCGUGGAGGAAGAAGGCCUUCGGGUCGUAAACUCCUGUCAGGUGGGACGAAACAGCCUAGGUCAAUAGCCUAGGGUUUCUGACGGUACCACCAGAGGAAGCCCCGGCUAACUCCGUG
rnacentral:rRNA from 1 species